UGGGGAAUAUUGGACAAUGGGCGAAAGCCUGAUCCAGCCAUGCCGCGUGUGUGAAGAAGGCCUUUUGGUUGUAAAGCACUUUAAGUGGGGAGGAAAAGCUUGUGGUUAAUACCCAUAAGCCCUGACGUUACCCACAGAAUAAGCACCGGCUAACUCUGUGCCAGCAGCCGCGGUAAUACAGAGGGUGCAAGCGUUAAUCGGAAUUACUGGGCGUAAAGCGCGCGUAGGUGGUUAUUUAAGUCAGAUGUGAAAGCCCCGGGCUUAACCUGGGAACUGCAUCUGAUACUGGAUAACUAGAGUAGGUGAGAGGGGAGUAGAAUUCCAGGUGUAGCGGUGAAAUGCGUAGAGAUCUGGAGGAAUACCGAUGGCGAAGGCAGCUCCCUGGCAUCAUACUGACACUGAGGUGCGAAAGCAUGGGUAGCAAACAGGAUUAGAUACCCUGGUAGUCCACGCCGUAAACGAUGUCUACCAGUCGUUGGGUCUUUUAAAGACUUAGUGACGCAGUUAACGCAAUAAGUAGACCGCCUGGGGAGUACGGCCGCAAGGUUA
rnacentral:rRNA from 1 species